rnacentral:rRNA from 1 species
GUCUUUUUGUUUUAAAUAUAAAGUAUAACCUGCCCAUUGAAAAUUUUAAAAGGCUGCGGUAUAUUGACCGUACAAAGGUAGCAUAAUCAUUAGUUUUUUAAUUGAGAACUUGUAUGAAUGGUUGAAUGAGAAAUAAACUUUUUUAAUAAAAAUAUUGAAUUUUACAUUUUAAUUAAAAGGUUAAAAUGAUUUUAAAAGACGAGAAGACCCUAUAGAGUUUUAUAAUUUAUGUUUAAAUUUUUAAAAAAAUUAAUUGGUAUUUUUAUUUAAAUAAAUUAUUUUAUUGGGGUGAUAAUAAAAUUUAAUUAACUUUUAUUUUUUUUUACAUUAAUAUAUGGAAAAUUGAUCCAUUACUAAUGAUCAAAAAAUUAAAUUACCUUAGGGAUAACAGCGUAAUUUUUUUUUUAAGUUCAUAUUAAUAAAAAAUUUUGCGACCUCGAUGUUGGAUUAAGAUUUAAUUUUAGGUGCAGAAGUUUAAAGUUUAAGUCUGUUCGACUUUUAAAUUCUU